AGGUCUGCAUCCCUCUCAUCAGUACAAAACUAUGAAGUGGAAAAACAUAUUCACACUUUUUGGACAUAAAGUUAUAUGGCAAAAACCACCAUAUCAUCAAAAUUUUAACAAAGACCUGGUUUUAUUGACACACCCCAAAGAAAACAACGUGGUCAAGCAGAGGACAAAGCAGAAGCUAUAUUCAAAGGGACACAUACCAAGUGCUUUUGAAUUUGACAAAACCUGGGACUACAGAACAGUCAUGAAUAAAAUUCAUGAGACAUUUAAAGGGGAAAUUCCAUGUGGCGUGAGCUACUUGACAGCCUCGAAAGUCAUAGUGCUGGCCAGGGGACUUAGCCAGUGCUUAUUUCCGGCGAAACACUACAACAGCGGCAGCGCAAGGUGUGAUCGACAGUCUGUGUGCGAGUAUGUCAUCGGGAUUCCACAGGAUUCAUGCCAACCACAUACUAGCAGAGACUGCUGCACUUGACCCGCGUUUUAAGAGGAUGGCCUUCCCUGAUGGCAGAACAGCAGAUGAGAUGUUUCAAAGGCUGUCAACUGCAGCCACAAGAAUUAGCAGUGGCACACCCAUCCAACAGCAACCAGCUGUGGAAGGACUGGAAGGAGCAGGCAGUGGUGCUGGAUCAAUGGUUUGGAGCUAUUUCCUUGAGGAAGUAAGGGUACAGUAGCUGGGACAGUGGAAGCCAGGAAUCCAACCGCCGAUGCUGUCAUGGAGGUGCGAGCCUACCUGGAGGAGCCUCUUCUUCCAACAUAUGAGGAUCCCCUCAAGUGGUGGGAGAGUCGAGUUGUUUACCCCAGGCUUAGCAAGCUGAUGGCCAAGAAGCUUUGCGUUGUGGCGACAUCAGUUCCCUCUGAGAGAAUAUUCUCGAAAACUGGACAGAUAAUCUCAGAGAGGAGAAGUCGCCUUAAGCCCAAAAAGGUCAGAGCUCUUGUUUUCCUUAAUGCAAAUUUGCCCAAGGACAAGAAAGAGAGGCAGAAAAAGCCAUUAAGUAAAGAACUGCUUUGUAUUUAUUUACAUUGCAUUUUGUGUUCAUUUAAAACUUGAAGGGGCUGAUCUU